UACAGAGGGGGCAAGCGUUAUUCGGAAUUAUUGGGCGUAAAGGGCGCGUAGGCGGCUUGGCAAGUGGAUGGUGAAAUCCCUCGGCUUAACCGAGGAACUGCCGUCCAAACUGCUUCGCUUGAGACCGGGAGAGGUGAGUGGAAUUCCCAGUGUAGAGGUGAAAUUCGUAGAUAUGGGAAGAACACCGGUGGCGAAGGCGGCUCACUGGC
rnacentral:rRNA from 1 species